rfam:Hordeum vulgare subsp. vulgare, WGS project CAJW01000000 data, contig: morex_contig_81349
AGCGGGGUAGAGGAAUUGGUUGACUCAUCAGGCUCAUAACCUGAAGACAGCAAGUUCGAAUCCUGCCCCGGCCU